rnacentral:tRNA from 1 species
GGGCUACUAGCUCAGGCGGUAGAGCACUUGACUUUUAAUCAAGUUGUCUCGGGUUCGAGUCCCGAGUGGCUCA